CGUGUGUGAGGUUUGAGAGUUUUGUUUACAAAAUGGAUGAAUUCUGGGGCUGCAAUCUGGACUACUUUCCCGAAAACAUUUUAAUCGAUGUGUUGUCUUACCUGAACGUACGAGAGGUCGUCAGAGCCGGGAGAGUAUGUAAGAGGUGGAAACGCCUUGUUAAAGACCAAAGACUGUGGAGAAAUGUCGACCUGACUUCAUGGAAAGGGGUGACAUCCCGCAUCCUUUGGGUCCUGCUGCGUCAGUACCUGGGUUGCGGACUAAGGUGCCUUCGCUUGCGUGGUUUGCUGCUGUCCGCACGUGGCGGAACCUUUCUCUCUGAGUCUUGGCUUAAAGCUUUGUCCACAAAAUGCCCUCGACUGAGUAAACUCUAUCUUCUGCAUGCAGACCUGAGAAGCCUGCCCAGUUGCCAGAUCCUACCUCCAUCUUUGCAGGUGCUGGAGCUGCGGGGUUGCGAGCUGCCUCGUGGCUUCUUCAAUCAGACCCUGCCUACUUCAUCAGCUAGUCUCCAAGAAAGAGCAGAACCCACAUCCAGUGUUGGUUCUCAACUGAAAGGAAGGAACCAGAAAGGAAAAGGGGCUGGCUCUCCUUCAGGGAUUGGUAUUGAGAGGUUAGUCCUUAACAAUGUGCCCUCUUUUACAGACCAGCACCUGCAGGGUCUGACAUCAUGGGAGAGGCUCUGUCGUCUAGAGCUACGUGACACCUUUCGCGUAACAGCUAAUGGGCUUAGAAGCUGUGCUGCCAAAGAUGGUGUCUGUGGUGUAGAAGGGCUUUCCAGGCUCAAGUUUCUGGAAAUAGGCAUUACAGGGCGGCAGGGCUACCAGUUACAUAUGGCCUCCCUUGGCUUGGGGGCUGGCUGGCUUGGACUGGAGGAGCUAAGUCUUGGUGGAAAAGAGGUGGGUCCAGGUUUGCUCUGCGCCAGCCGCCUGAGAGACCUGAAACGUCUGCGCCUGUGGGACUGCACACUCAGCGAGCUACAGAUAGCCCGGAGCUGCAGGAUGCUCCGUGGACUUCGCCAGCUGGAGUUUGUGGACGUCAGGUUCCAGCCUCGUCAGAAUCCACCAGCAGAGGAGGGGGAGGGUGGUGAGGAAGAAGAGCAGGACAGAGAAGAAGCUGAAGGUGCAGAUGGCAGCAGCGAUGAGAACAAGACUGCAGAUAUGAACGAUCCUAUUCCAGGUCUGCGUCGCACACUGGCUGUCCUGCUGCCAUCCUGCACACUGGUGUUUACCAACUGCUCUGUUCAGAAUAAUGAAGAUUGAAUGAAGCUAUAUGCUGCUAUAUACAAGCAACCCACAUGGGAUUUUAAAAAUAAAAUAAAACAACAACAAAAAACAAAACGGUUACAUAGACUUUCAGAUCAUGUUGACAUAAGUAGAGCCGGAUUCAGAAUGCUUUGUCAACUUUUUCUGACAAUGCCACAAUAAGUCCAUAAAUAAAUAAAAAUAAUUUUAAAAGUCUACUCACAAUGAUCCAUGUUUAUAGUAUUUUUUUAGGCUUUUAGAAUGAAGUAACAAAAAACCGAAAAGCUGUACACAGUAAUGUAUUCAAAUGUAUUAGGGGAUUAUUGAGCGAUAAAAUAAAAAAAAAAUAGUAUGUAUGAAAAUAAAUGACUUCCUCAAUAUAAUUACCUUUGAGGGCUUUAGAGGAGGAUUGCAGGUUUCAGCAGUGCAAGAACAACAAUAAAUGUUUUGGCCCUUUAUUUAGGUUUUUAGAGUAUUAUGUUCAAAAUGUUACUCGUCUCGAUUAAAGCUGACUUAGAAGUAGGAGAUAUAUUGUGAUAUGGUGUUUUCUGAAAAAUCUAAUUGGUGACAGUUGCCUAAAACUUCCAAUCUGAAUUGUCUGUCGUUGACAAAUCAGAUUACUUCAUCACAUUGAUGCAAACAUCAUGAAAAACAUCUUUCUCAUCAGUUUGAAAGGUUGCCUCAUAAACUGAGGCUACUACAUUAUGAAAGUUAAGAAAAAACAUCUGUCAUCAUAGACACAAAUUAUAUUGUCUUAAGGGAUAUUUCAUGAUCUCCUACAAUACUCAGUGUCUUUGAGGUAAGUCAGUGGGAAGUCUCUCCUUUUUAGUGCUUAGAAACGAUAUGAAAUAAAAUGCAGAACAGUUGCUGUUAGACUGUAAACAGAUAAGCAGGUGUCAGCAACAAAGACAAACAAGUCAUGAUCCACCUGUUUCCUGUUCUUUACCACUUCUCAACAACAUAUACUGUCAGAGAACAUAUAUUUUACUCUGUUUGGCUGGGUGAUGCACAGGAUAUCGUUGGGCUUUGCAUAUGUGAUUUGUAGAAACUGAGAACAAAAAAGAACCGCUCAUCCUGAAUGUGUGUAUAUUGUCUCAAUUUUAGGAAAAAACAUGUAAGAUCUUUGUCAUCACACCGAAGUGUGUUGCAUUUAAAGCAACCAUUCAAUGAAGGUUCAUCUUGUAAAGAACAAAUUUUUCUGAAUAAAGCUAUUUUGAUAAAGUAAACCCAGAAUUUGUGCUUGAAUACAAAUACAGUAUGUCAACUGCACCUUUAAAGAUGACUGAUCAGUUCGUCAUGAAACUGCACGUCUCAUUUUUCAAGGUCAAAUGCUACAUUUUGUCUGGUCUUCUCUUACGUAGGUUAUUUCUUGUUAGCUUAAGCUUCAGAAAAUUGUCAUGGAUCAUUUCUCUUGUUUUGAGUGUUGGAGUGGCCAGUAACGGUUUUUGGAAAGCGGAAAAACAAGAAUUUAAAUGAGUAAGUAUUAAUCCUACACAAGUAGCUUAACGGUACACAAACCGUAUAAUCAAAAUUAAAAGCAUCUUAAUUAAAAGUAAUUAUGGGAUUAAAAGUUUGGAUUCAUGAAUUUAUAUAUGAUAUACAGUAUAUUUUGCAGCUGGAAAUCAUUUUAUUAUUUAUAUGCUACAUAACAAAUAAUUUAACACCUACAUACUGUUGAGUUCAAAUUUGUCCAGUGUGAACAUUUCAGAUUGAAAGUGACCCGAAAUACACAUAGAUUACAAUAGUUAAAAAUGUUAUACUGUUGUAAGGGUGCUAUGAAUUUUUGUACAUUACGGCUGUUACUGAUCAAAUUUGAGCCGCAGCUAUUUGGAUACAUUUUAGAUCCACCAUAGGUCAAAUCAAGGAAGACAGUGGUUUUAGAGACUCUUAAACUGUAAACAUGUACAUGCCAUGUCUGUGUGUAUCUCCUUCUAGGAUAGUGGUCACAAGAGCUUUCUGUAUUCUCACCACAUUUGCUCAGGUUCCUGCAGAGACAGGCAACUGCUGUAGCAUGUGGGAAUCUUCCAACAGUGAAUUAGUAAAACAGCAUAGAUGUGGUCAUAUAUGGUGCACCUGUUUUACCCAUUUCAGAACAGGUGAGUGGGAACCACAUUCAAGUCCUGCAUACAAAGUUUCCUACCACUGCCCUGAAUGUACUAACUAGUUGCAAUUAGCUUUUUAUGUGCUCCAAGUGUUGAUUAUUGUUGAAGUAAUGUUGCUAAUUAUAUAUAGUAGUUAUGAGGAAUUUUAUGCUAUAGCAGUGAGGACAAUAUUAAACAACUGAAAUUUCUUGCCAUUUUCACUUUCAGUAAAUUAAUAAAUAUAGCUAUAAAUCAAAAUAGCUUUUAUGGCUAUUGUGUUACUGUGUGAUGAUUUUCUGCAAAAUAAGUGUUGUAAAUUUGAAAAUACACUUCCCAUACUCUUUAUUAAGGACUAAUCAACGAUUUAUUAUCAUUGUCAGGUAAGCUAUUUAUACAUUUUAAUUAGAUCAUUGAUUUUAAAAAAAAUGGUCAAAAUGUAUGGAGUUAUUUACGAGGGAAUUUUUGGGCAAAUAUAGACUAGAACCAUACUGUGAAGGGAUUGAUUGAUAUACCUUUAUUAGUCCCACAAGGAGAAAUUAAAUAUUCAUAUUAAGUAUGUAAGAAUGAAGUAAUAAGUAUAAAGUAAAUGAAGUAUAAAGUAAAAUAUUUGCAUUUGUGAAGUAAGAUUUGAAAGUAGCAUAACAUAGAAAUGAAGUAAAAUACAUUCAAACCGUACCAGGUGUGUUAGGUACUGUUGGUUUUCUGUCACGUGCUUGAAUUUUGUAGAUUUUAGCCAAUGAAAAUUUGAGGCUUUAUGGACGCGGACAAAGGAUAUAAAUGCUUUAUACAGCCUACAUACAUCACAUACCAUGGACGUUACUCCUGCUUUUUAAAAAUAAUGUACAGCAUGUGGGCGGGACCACAGCCAGCGCUCACCAAUGACACGCUGCCCCUUGCAGCGCUUUUGUCCAAUGACUGUUCUGUAAGUGUGCGAAGCUCACCAAUCACGUUCGUGAAGAUUAGCUUUUUGAAAACGCUGGCGGCCGAGGAAGUUCUAGGUUACAAGAUUGGGGUUUUCACGCUGUAAAGUUAAUACUGUUUUUCCUUCACUACGAUGCAGAAAGAUUAAUUGGGGACCUGAAACUAGUUAAGAUGCUGUUGCAUUAAGUGAAGAGAGCUGUUAAAUAAAGAUCUCCAAGAAAUACUGAUGAACUGAAACAGUUUG